CAGAAUUUCACUUUUGCUGUAGAGGAAACAAAUGAUGCCCUGAAAAGAAAAAAAAAAAAAAAAAAAAAAAGAAGACUUGAAGAUCAUAAUUAAUGUAGUUACUGGAAACAGAAGAGCUGUAGGAUGCACCUGGCAGUACAUCAAUGAUAUCUUCAGAAGUAGCUGCCAGAACCUUAUCUCAGAUCCAUACAGAGCCUUUUUUAAAGUGUUUUAAA
rnacentral:lncRNA from 1 species